GAGAGUAGACAUACCACCCCAACUGCAUCCAAUUUCAGUUAGUCUUAGAAGCUAAGCAGCCCAGGGCCUGGCUAGUACUUGGAAUGGAGACCCCCUGGGAAUCUCAUGCACUGUAGAUA
rnacentral:rRNA from 1 species